rnacentral:rRNA from 1 species
UAAUGUCUGGGAAACUGCCUGAUGGAGGGGGAUAACUGCUGGAAACGGUAGCUAAUACCGCAUAACGUCGCAAGACCAAAGUGGGGGACCUUCGGGCCUCAUGCCAUCAGAUGUGCCCAGAUGGGAUUAGCUAGUAGGUGGGGUAACGGCUCACCUAGGCGACGAUCCCUAGCUGGUCUGAGAGGAUGACCAGCCACACUGGAACUGAGACACGGUCCAG